rnacentral:rRNA from 1 species
AUUGAACGCUGGCGGCAGGCCUAACACAUGCAAGUCGAGCGAGCGGCGGACGGGUGAGUAAUGUAUGGGGACUGCCCGAUAGAGGGGGAUAACUACUGGGAAAGGUGGCUAAUACCGCAUACUAUCGGAUAACCCAUAUGGGAUUGGCUAGUAGGUGGGGUAAAGGCUCACCUAGGCGACGAUCUCUAGCUGGUCUGAGAGGAUGAUAAGCCAAACUGGGACGGAGAAACGGACCAGACUCCGACGGAGGCAUCAGUGGAGAAUAUUGCACAAUGGGCGCAAGCCUGAUGCAGCCAUGCCGCGUGUAUGAAGAAGGCCUUAGGGUUGUAAAGUACUUUCAGCGGGGAGGCGUUACCCGCAGAAGAAGCACCGGCUAACUCCGUGCCAGCAGCCGCGGUAAUAC